rnacentral:rRNA from 1 species
CAGACCUCUGAUCAGGGAAGACUACCCGCUGAGUUUAAGCAUAUCAAUAAGCGGAGGA